GAUGAACGCUGGCGGCGUGCCUAAUACAUGCAAGUCGAGCGAACAGACGAGGCGCUUGCUCCUCUGACGUUAGCGGCGGACGGGUGAGUAACACGUGUAUAACCUACCUAUAAGACUGGGAUAACUUCGGGAAACCGGAGCUAAUACCGUAUAAUAUCUUGAACCGCAUGGUUCAAUAGUGAAAUACGGUUUUCGGGGACUUAAUGGUGGCUUCUGCGCUGCUUUAGUUGGUUGUUAAGGUACCGGUUUACCAAGGCAAGGAGGCGUAGCCGACUGGAGAGGGUGAUCGGCCACACGGGAACUGAGACACGGUCCAGACUCCUACGGGAGGCAGCAGUAGGGAAUCUGACGCAAUGGGCGAAAGCCUGACGGAGCAACGCCGCGUGAGUGAUGAAGGUCUUCGGAUCGUAAAACUCUGUUAUUAGGGAAGAACAAAUGUGUAAGUAACUAUGCACGUAUUGACGGUAACUAAUCAGAAAGCCACGGCUAACUACGUG
rnacentral:rRNA from 1 species